rnacentral:rRNA from 1 species
UACGGAGGAUCCAAGCGUUAUCCGGAAUCAUUGGGUUUAAAGGGUCCGUAGGCGGUUUGGUAAGUCAGUGGUGAAAGCCCAUCGCUCAACGGUGGAACGGCCAUUGAUACUGCCAGACUUGAAUUAUUAGGAAGUAACUAGAAUAUGUAGUGUAGCGGUGAAAUGCUUAGAGAUUACAUGGAAUACCAAUUGCGAAGGCAGGUUACUACUAAUGGAUUGACGCUGAGGAGCGAAAGCGUGGGGAGCGAACAGG